CCUACGGGUGGCAGCAGUGGGGAAUAUUGGACAAUGGGCGAAAGCCUGAUCCAGCCAUGCCGCGUGUGUGAAGAAGGCCUUCGGGUUGUAAAGCACUUUCAGUGGGGAAGAAAGCCUUGGGGCUAAUACCCUCGAGGAAGGACAUCACCCACAGAAGAAGCACCGGCUAACUCCGUGCCAGCAGCCGCGGUAAUACGGAGGGUGCGAGCGUUAAUCGGAAUUACUGGGCGUAAAGCGCGCGUAGGCGGUCUGAUAAGCCGGUUGUGAAAGCCCCGGGCUCAACCUGGGAACGGCAUCCGGAACUGUCAGGCUAGAGUGCAGGAGAGGAAGGUAGAAUUCCCGGUGUAGCGGUGAAAUGCGUAGAGAUCGGGAGGAAUACCAGUGGCGAAGGCGGCCUUCUGGACUGACACUGACGCUGAGGUGCGAAAGCGUGGGUAGCAAACAGGAUUAGAUACCUCAGUAGU
rnacentral:rRNA from 1 species